AGCUUGAUUCCAUUUCUCUGCAGACAGGCUGAUCCUAUUGCGGAAGAGGGACCAUGUGGUCUGCUGGUUAGAGAGAAGUCCUGGAAGCCCGAAUGGGCCCGCGUCUUAUAACAUAGCUGAGCAACUGACUCACUGCAUAGCCUAGGUUACAUCGCUUAACCUCAUGGGGCUUGUUGUCCACCCAGCUGGAAAAUGUGGUAAGAAGUGAGGUUGGACUGAAAAUCAUUUGUGGUGCAGCUGAGUUGUUUUUCCACAGGGUACAGGAGGAGACUGACAGGUCUGACUGAAGGCAAGCCCGGUGGACUCCAGUGGGUAAAGGUAGGCCUCAGAAGAUACAAUGAGAGUUGGUUCAGGCUGGCGCAAGUAUUCUAUAAAGAAAUCUUCUCCUCUCUGCUGAACUGACAUACAUGUAUUUCUACCUCUGUCCCCAUAUGGCCUCAGUCCAUAAUCCUAGUUCUUUGUAAACGGAUGUUGGUUGGAUGAAGAUUCCCAGUUCACAGCGACUGUCGCCCCGCGCAAGGCAAGUACUCGGCAUUAUCCCAUGUCUUCCUUGCUACAGGAAACAGCAGAAUCUCCAGGGACUUAGAGUUGGAGCGGCUCUGCUGAUUAAGAGCUAAGUUGGAAGGAAAUGAGAAGCAAGGCUAAGAAUUUACAUAAAACACUAUGAACCUGAAUGUAAAGAUGAUCAAUUAAAAGCUAGUAAGUGAAAAGAGAAAACACGUUGAUGAAGAGAAUGUUUAUCAUAAUAGAAAAUUGAAAAUUAAUUCUGCUUUGGGUAUUUGAAGACAUUAAAAGCUGUCCCAGAGAUGUUGGAUUCAGAUUCCAGGGUAUAGAGUUUCGAUUAUUUUGUCAGUGCAGAUAGGACUUUGAAGGUGAGACUUCUGAUAAAACCCACAAAAUUCCAGAUAGCGAUUUACUCUAAACUAUGAAGGGAAUUUCCAAAGGGCCUGGGAAAC
rnacentral:lncRNA from 1 species